rnacentral:rRNA from 1 species
CUCCGCGSCYUAUCAGYUUGUKGGKGAGGUAAUGGCUCCACCAAGGSGUGUCGACGGGUASCCGSCCUGAGAGGGCGACCSGCCCACMCUGGGGAYUGAGMCACGGCCCCAGAYUYCUUACGGGRRGCAGCAGUGGGGAAUAUUGCACAAUGGGCGAAAGCCUGAUGCAGCGACGCCGCGUGAGGGAUGAAGGCCUUCGGGGUUGUAAACCUCUUUCCAGUAGGGAAGAAGCGAAAGUGACGGUACCUGCAGAAGAAGCGCCGGCUAACUACGUGCCAGCAGCCGCGGUAAUACGUAGGGCGCAAGCGUUGUCCGGAAUUAUUGGGCGUAAAGAGCUCGUAGGCGGUUUGUCGCGUCUGGUGUGAAAACUCAAGGCUCAACCUUGAGCUUGCAUCGGGUACGGGCAGACUAGAGUGUGGUAGGGGUGACUGGAAUUCCUGGUGUAGCGGUGGAAUGCGCAGAUAUCAGGAGGAACACCGAUGGCGAAGGCAGGUCACUGGGCCACUACUGACGCUGAGGAGCGAAAGCAUGGGGAGCGAACAGGAUUAGAUACCCUGGUAGUCCAUGCCGUAAACGUUGGGCACUAGGUGUGGGGCUCAUUCCACGAGUUCCGCGCCGCAGCUAACGCAUUAAGUGCCCCGCCUGGGGAGUACGGCCGCAAGGCUAAAACUCAAAGGAAUUGACGGGGGCCCGCACAAGCGGCGGAGCAUGCGGAUUAAUUCGAUGCAACGCGAAGAACCUUACCAAGGCUUGACAUACACCGGAAUCAUGCARAAGAUGUGUGCGUCUUCGGACUGGUGUACAGGUGGKGGCAUGGGUUGUCGUCAGCUCSUGUCGUGAGAUGUUUGGGGUUAAGUCCCCGCAACGAGCGCAACCCCUCGUCCUAUGUUGCCAGCACGGUCWUGGUGGGGGACUCMUARGAGAMAUGSCGGGGUCAMYYCGRAGGAGAAGGUGGGGRGUGASAGUCCAAAUMAUMAUGGCCCCCUUAUGKYUUGGGSGUUCMCSCMYGSUWCAAUAGGGGCSGGKRCAAAAGGGSUGCGRWACCSCSCA